CAAGUCGAGGGGUAAGGUUCAGCUUGCUGAAUACACGACCGGCGCACGGGUGAGUAACACGUUUGCAACCUUCCUCUAACUGGAGAAUAGCCCGAAGAAAUUCGGAUUAAUACUCCAUAAAGUCAAUUUAAGGCAUCUUUUAUUGAUUAAAGCUCCGGCGGUUAGAGAUGGGCAUGCGUGUCAUUAGCUAGUUGGUGAGGUAACGGCUCACCAAGGCCACGAUGACUAGGGGGUCUGAGAGGAUGAUCCCCCACACUGGUACUGAGACACGGACCAGACUCCUACGGGAGGCAGCAGUGAGGAAUAUUGGGCAAUGGACGCAAGUCUGACCCAGCCAUGCCGAGUGCAGGAUGACUGCCCUAUGGGUUGUAAACUGCUUUUGUAUGGGAAGAAACCCCCGAUCGUGAUCGGGGCUGACGGUAACAUACGAAUAAGCAUCGGCUAACUCCGUGCCAGCAGCCGCGGUAAUACGGAGGAUGCAAGCGUUAUCCGGAUUCAUUGGGUUUAAAGGGUGCGCAGGAGGAAUAUUAAGUCAGUGGUGAAAUCCUGCAGCUUAACUGUAGAACUGCCAUUGAUACUGAUAUUCUUGAAUAUAGUUGAGGUGGGCGGAAUGUGUAAUGUAGCGGUGAAAUGCUUAGAUAUUACACAGAACACCAAUUGCGAAGGCAGCUCACUAAACUAAUAUUGACGCUGAGGCACGAAAGCGUGGGUAGCAAACAGGAUUAGAUACCCUGGUAGUCCACGCUGUAAACUAUGAUCACUCGCUGUUGGCAAUACAUCGUCAGCGGCUGAGCGAAAGCAUUAAGUGAUCCACCUGGGGAGUACGGUCGCAAGAUUGAAACUCAAAGGAAUUGACGGGGGCCCGCACAAGCGGAGGAACAUGUGGUUUAAUUCGAUGAUACGCGAGGAACCUUACCUGGGCUUAAAUGCAGAGCGACGUCCGCCGAAAGGUGGAUUCCUUCGGGCGAUCUGCAAGGUGCUGCAUGGUUGU
rnacentral:rRNA from 1 species